rnacentral:lncRNA from 1 species
AUUUCUAUAUAACGAAUUUUGGGAGCUUUGGAAUUUCAGGUAUUUUUAAUUGGGUCUUAUCUAUUCAUAUAUUUUCUGGGUUUCUGUUGAGAUUUGAAGAUAAGACCAAAUUCACUGAUAAAUUGAAACUUCUGCCUUGAAUGUUUGUGUGUGUUCUGUUCUUUCUCUUCAUGUCAUGUGAAAAAACUCCGUCACUAUAAAAUUACU